UUGGAGUUUGUUUGUUUUUUAAUAAAAAUUGCUAAAUAAUUAAAAAAAUCACACUGACUAUGACGUAUUGUGUUCAGAAUUUUGAGGGCAAAAUUAUUUAUUCCAUCUUGGAAUAAGGCUGUUUAGUUCUUAAAAACAAAUGUUUUUUCACAAUAAAUUUGAGUUUUUUUAUGUUUAAUAAAUUUGCAAAAGUCAUUUAAAACACAUUUUACAUUGUCACUAUCUAGUAUUGUGUGUACAAUUUUGAUGACAAAGAUGGAUUUAUUCAAUUUUGUUCUUAAACAAUAUAUAUAUAUAAUCUUUGCACAAUAAAUUUGAGUUUUUUAUUUUUAAUACAUUUGCAAAGUAAUAUGGGGUAUUGUGUGUAGAAUUUUGAGGGGAAAAUUAUAUGUUCCAUUUUGAAAUAAGGCUGUACCGUAACAAAAUGUGGAAUAACAGAAGCACUGUGAACACUUUCUGGUUGAUUGCAUCACUCACUUAUUCUGCCUUAAUGCUGUUACUGCAAUAUCUUGCAUCGUUUGCAUUCUUCUUGCAGGGCUGUGCAAUAAGCUUUGUUGAUUUUUGAAUGUAAAAACUGACAUGAAGGCUGUCAUUCCUUUACAAUGUUCUGUAAAAAAAAAAAAGAUGCUUUGUGUGAAGCCCUCACAUGUAAAGAGAGGAUUGCAUAUAAUACACGCAAUAUUCAGUCUGUUACAAUAUUGUAUAUUUGUUAUGGUUUGAUCAUUUGAUUGUGUCACAGCGCCCUCGGGCGGCCAAGAGAUGUAACUAUCAGGAAGUCAUGCGAAAACUGCAAAAUUGUUUGAUUUCAACACUUCUUCCUUACUGUAAGUGUGUACAAAUAUAAUCCAUUAUGUUGAAAGAAUGGACUGACUCUUACUGAACAAUAAAAUUGUCUGGUUUUGGUAUGAUAUUACGUGUUGAAAUAUACAUUAUAAAAUUGUAUUUUGCGCCCUCUGCUGGACACUAAUAGUCAGUACAGCUCCAUAGUUGCUCGGUCUAUAUUAACGUAAAAAAAAAAAUGUCCGACUCAAUAUUACUCACAAACAAACUAAAACAAAAACAUACGCCAAGGAGGCAAAAAUGAGUUUGUAUAUUAAAAAAAAAGAGCGAAACGAAAACGUGUCCACUGGGUGCGGCUACAAAUAUCAAAACACUCCACUGAGGGAGUUUAAACCACGUGAUCUCAUCUCUGCGCUCUCAUUGGCUGAACAGCGUGUCAAUCUUGUCUGAAGAGGGCGUGUCCGGUCCGCCUUUUUUACACGGGAGUGUCAAAGAAGAAGGCAACUACGACGAGGAGCAAAAAAAUGUCGUCGGUGCCUGACGGGAAGAAACUUGUCCGGAGCCCGAGUGGACUUCGCAUGAUGCCUGAAAACGGCGCCUUCAACAGCCCGUUCUCCCUGGACGAGCCGCAGUGGGUUCCUGACAAAGACUGUCCCAGAUGUAUGCAGUGCGACACCAAGUUCGACUUCAUCCGAAGAAAGCAUCACUGUCGACGCUGCGGCCGAUGCUUCUGCGACAAGUGCUGCAGCAAGAAGGCGGCGCUGCCCCGCAUGUCCUUUGUGGACCCGGUGAGGCAAUGUGCCGACUGCAGCCUGCUCUCGCAGAAGGAGAGCGACUUCUACGACAAGCAGCUCAAAGUGCUCCUGGCAGGAAGCACCUUUCUCGUCACUUUGGGAGUGUCAAACAAGUCUGAAACCAUGACGUGCCGCCUGGCCAACAACCACAGGUACAUGUUCCUGGACGGUGAAAGCCACUUUGAGGUGGAGUUGUCUCGCAUCUCCAGCAUGCAGAUUCAGACUGACGGGACGAGUCCUGGAGAAAAUGACCUGCUGGAUAAUCAGUUUGCCUACGAAGGGUGUGCGUCACGGGCCAGCGGCAUGCUGGUGCACUACAAGCCCAUGGGCUCCCAGGACACUCAGCAGCUGCACUUAGAGGCGGCCGAUGACAAGAAGGCGGCGGCGCUCUGGCUGGCCGCCAUGCACAAGGGCGCCAAGCUGCUGUACGAAGCGAAGGACCAGUGAGAAGACGUCCAGUCAGAACCAGCAGCACACACACACACACCAGACCCAGCCUUCUCCGUCCCGCCUCCUUGGCGGUCCUCCGUCGUGAUCAGGAUGUGAUCCACAUCUCACCUGGGAAAACCUCUCACAGCCAAACGUACCUAAUCUCUCUACUCUGAACCAAGACCAGCAGGACCUUCUCGUUUACACAAAAACCUUUUCUUUCAUAAAGAAAAAGGGCAGAAAGCUGCUCUCAUUUGCACAAAGUAUUCACUCGGAUUACAUCUUCCACAUGGAGCUUCUUCCAGAACAAGGUCCGAGUUUCUUCCACUUGGCAAAAAUGGAAGAAUGUGGCACACUUCAUUAUUAGACAUGCCAAAAGGUUCAAUAACAAACAUCUCAGCUGUGCGUUCGGGAUGAGAGCUUCUUCUUCUCAUCGUAUAUUUUCACAGAUUUAGUCCGGUUCGAAUCCUUUCUGAUGCACACCUUCUAUUUUCGGAAUAAGAUGCAGGCCCAGGAGCUACAAAAAGCCAGUUUGGACACGCCUGUUCAACUAAAUUGUUGUCACUUUUAUCCUUAUUUUGUAUAUUCCGGAGGAAACCAACAGUAGACACUAGAUUUUGGUUGAAGUAUUUUGAGUUACACAAGUUUUCAAAAAGCUAGUCAAAGAUCAUCUCUAUGACAGUGCUCUAGUGUUUUUAGGAAUCUACUGCACAAAUGUGAGUUUCUCACAAGAUUUUUUAACUAAACAAGCAGUGAAAUUGCUCAAAUGAUUUAAAAAAAGGAAGAGAGGACCUAAAAUGGAGCCCUGAGGAACACCACUAAACGUUAUGUUGAACAAAUGAUUACAGACUCCAUCCGAAGUAAACAAUCUACAGCAACACCUCCAGUUAGACAAAUCACAUUACGAAAACUAUUUGUAAAAAGGAGAGGACUUAAAGGGGUGCCUUGAGGAACGCCUCAGUUAUGUAUAUCAAACGUUUGGGUGUUCUAUGUUUACGAGCAGGGUUAAAAUGUCUUGCCAAUGUGUUUACAGUGGUCCAAGUUCCUCUAUAAGACAGGAGCACGCUAGGAAUUGUAUGCAAAAAUGUUUGGAACUGAACUCAAGGGUGUCAUUCUCGUGUAGGAUUAACCCUGUUCUAGAGUGUUCUGCAUCUUCUCGUGUACUUUGCCAGCAAAGUGCUGCAGUCCGACGACCUUCUCAACGACCUGCUCCAGAUUAAAGGUGCCGUUUUCUGCGGAUAGCUGACAACCGAGAGCAGGCGUUCUUAACCUUUUUAAGCUGGGGGCCCCAACCUUUCCACUACAGAGGUGCCCACUCCGAUAUUAACACUGAAUUUGGCCCUAGUGUGUGAAUGUGAGUGUGAAUUUUGUCUAUCUGUGUUGGCCCUGUGAUGAGGUGGCAACUUGUCCAGGGUGUACCCCGCCUUCUGCCCGAAUGCAGCUGAGAUAAGCUCCAGCACCCCCCGCGAACCCAAAAGGGACAAGCUGUAGAAAAUGGAUAGAUGGAUAGUCUGGAUUUUAGUCGUAUUCAAUAUAUAUCUAACUUACUUACAGUUUACCACCUUGUCAAAGGAUAUGGAACCAAGUGCUAUUCACAAACAUUAUAAUCAAGGCUUAGGUCAGACUGAUUACAGAAAUACUCUCUUAAAACUCUUAAAAAAUAAAUGUACACACAAUUACACAGUGCUAAAAGAACAAAACAAUUUUAACUAAAUUAAUACCGUAUUUUCCGCACCAUAAGGCGCCCUGGGUUAUAAGCCGCGCCUUCAAUGAACGGCAUAUUUAAAAACUUUGUCCACCUAUAAGCCGCUCCGUGUUAUAAGCCGCAUCUAACUGCGCUAAAGGAAUGUCAAAAAAACAGUCAGAUAGGUCAGUCAAACUUUAAUAAUAUAUUAAAAACCAGCGUGAUGUGGGCGCGCAUGGAGUCGUAUAUCAACAUGGACGGAGCUGCGUGAAAAAAGCCACCCGGCCUCUUCGCGUAAACUUACCUUAACCACUCGCUCAUCUUUUCUUCAUCCAUCCAUCCCUUCGAGUUAGCUUUUAUGAUGACGCCGCCUGGAAAGGUCUCUUUUGGCAAGGUCUUCCUUUUGAAUAUCACCAUGGGUGGAAGUUUCUGGCCAUUAGCAUGGCAAGCUAGAACCACAGUGAAGGAUGACUUCUCAUUCCCUGUGGUGCGAAUAUUCACCGUACGUGCUCCCGUUGUAUCCACAGUGCGGUUCACAGGAAUAUCAAAAGUCAGUGGAACCUCGUCCAUGUUGAUAAUGUUCUCUGGCCGGAUCUUUUUUUCAGCUAUCUUGUUUUUACAAUAUGCACGGAAAGUAGCCAGCUUUUCUUGAAAGUCUUUAGGCAGUUGCUGUGAAAUAGUAGUCCGUGUGCGGAUGGAGAGAUUGCGUCUUGGAAACCUGUCGCUUAGUAGGAGCCAUUUUGUGGUCUUUACAGAUGUAAACACACAAAGGAAAUGAAACGUAAUAUACGCGCGCUUCUUCUUCUUCUACGCGGGCGGGUGGUUGCUUACAGUAGAAGAAGAAGCGCUUCCUGUUCUAUGGGGGCGGGUGCUUACCUUGGCGGUUGCUUGCGUAGAAGAAGAAGCACUUCCUCUUCUACGGGGAAAAAAGAUGGCGGCUGUUUACCGUAGUUGCGAGACCGAAACUUUAUGAAAAUGAAUCUUAAUAUUAAUCCAUAUAUAAAGCGCACCGGGUUAUAAGCCGCACUGUCAGCUUUUGAGUAAAUUUGUGGUUUUUAGGUGCGGCUAAUAGUGCGGAAAAUACGGUAAUCAUAAUAAUAUGUUUCCUAAGUAAACUUCCAAUAAAUUUAAAUUGCAAAUAAAAAUACAGCUUCACCACUUAAGUCAUAUUUUUUUUGCGCUGAAGAAACUUCUCUAUGACUUUAGCUCCAGACUUCUUCUGCUUGUUUGAUACUGUCAUUACUGCCACAAGUGGUGGGAAAGUGUAUUACAGCAGAGUACCGCUGCGACCGCUUACGGACCACAGCUGAGAAACAGAUAUGGUUAAGAAACACUGGCCUUGAGGGCGCUACCGUUUCAAAAGUUAUAUUCCGCCCUUUUCCUGGUCAGACCAUGUAAGCCCCGCCCCACCAAAACACAGGCACCAAAGGACAACGUUGGAAGUGUUGGGCAGGGCGUAUGAUUCCGACUAAUACACAGGACGACUUUUUCCACCUCAAAGAAAAACUCUAAAACUCUUCCAAGUCAAACUGUCGACACCUCUAGAUGUCACUUACUAGUUCCACGGCAUAACUUUUUAAACCGUUUCCUCUGAAACAUCUUCUAUGGAUGUGUGACUGUUUAUUCUAACUGUGACAAAUUGUUACAUUCACUUGUCGAAUCUGUUCUUGUAUGUUUUGGACUGCACCUUUUAAGUCAGCUUGGAUCCAUUUGUCCCAGUCCAGCAGGUUCUCUGUUGCCUAUCACGUGAACAACACUAGCCCUCAACACGUGAAGUACUCACAUGGACGUUUUAGAAAAGAUACCUUGUCGGAUCCUCCUACUUCACCAGAAGCCAAAUUCUUGCUUUCAUACAAAUUGUUGUCUCCACCAUCUAGAACUAUUCUGGAACCAAAACCAACCGGCAGCAGCUAUUGACCAUUGACGGCAUAUCUUCGAGACGCUGAGAAAAAUAAACUUUGGGCAAUGACGCGGCCAGAACAGGGCUGGAGCACCUACGACCCAACUAGCUACAGAGAUGGGUCUUAAGCGAACGGUAACGCAACAGACGGAGGAUGUAUCAUCCACGAUCCACCGUUCUCUCGCCAUACCAACCGGCAGAUGGUGCUCCUCCUUCCAAGCGGAAAUGAAAGCGAUCAAAGUUACAAGCUGUCUGGGGAAGAAGAAGCCAGAAUAGUUAGUGACAGCCAAUCGUCACUGAUGAGUAUCCAGAAUGCCUAACCCUCCAAACCCCUCCCCAAAAUCAUCCAAAUCCUUUCUGACCUCAGCGUGCGGGGGGAGCCGGAUUACUUUCACUUGGUGUCCAAGCCACUGUGGUAUCUCGGUAAUCAACCUGCCGACCGUCAAACUAGAGGGGGAGCCAUAUCUGACCAAUCUGAAGUCUACUGCCACUACGAUUCAGCCAAGGCGAUUAGGGGCGGUCCAAUCCAGCACGAGGGGAUUAUCCAGCACGGUGAUAGCGGUAAGAAACUUGAACCGCCUGGCGGGGAGGAGUCAUUCCAGAAGUGGGCACCACCUUGGAAUAAAAUACUGGCUCGCUAAGAUCAACCGGGCCAUGGACACGAUUUGCCGGAAAUGGUGCCUUGGUAAGGAGACUCCACAGCACGUCGUCUAUGAUUGCCCGCUCCUCCACCCCCAGAUCUGCUCGCUACUGAUCCUCUUCGCGCUUUGUCUACAUGGGAGAAGUGGAAAUUAACGCCCUGUCUACCGAAUGGUAACGCAACAGGCGGAGGAUGUAUCAUCCACGAUCCACCGUUCUCUCGCCAUACCAACCGGCAGAUGGUGCUCCUCCUUCCACGCCUAAAUGAAAGCGAUCAAAGUUAGAAGCUGUCUGGGGAAGAAGAACGCAGAAUAGUUAGUGACAGCCAAUCGUCACUGAUGAGUAUCCAGAACGCCUAACCCUCCACAACCCUCAUCAUCCAAAUAUUUUCUGACCUCAGCGUGCGGGGGGAGCCGGAUUACUUUCACUUGGUGUCCAAGCCACUGUGGUAUCUCGGUAAUCAACCUGCCGACCGUCAAACUAGAGGGGGAGCCGUAUCUGACCAAGCUGAAGUCUACUGCCACUACGAUUCAGCCAAGGCGAUUAGGGGCGGUCCAAUCCAGCACGAGGGGAUUAUCCAGCACGGUGAUAGCGGUAAGAAACUUGAACCGCCUGGCGGGGAGGAGUCAUUCCAGAAGUGGGCACCACCUUGGAAUAAAAUACUGGCUCGCUAAGAUCAACCGGGCCAUGGACACGAUUUGCCGGAAAUGGUGCCUUGGUAAGGAGACUCCACAGCACGUCGUCUAUGAUUGCCCGCUCCUCCACCCCUAGAUCUGCUCGCUACUGAUCCUCUUCGCGCUUUGUCUACAUGGGAGAAGUGGAAAUUAACGCCCUGUCUACCUGAAGUUUCCCCAACCUGGUCCUCGGGACCAACAAUAGAAGUUGCAGCUUUGAGUCCCACAGCAGGACAGAGUGCCUGGUGGGAUACCCAGCGGUUGUCCACCACCAUGCGUUGUAUGGCCGUAUGAAGUGAAUGAUGUCACCAUCAUUCUUAAUAACAACAAUCAUACUUUAAUACAUUCCUGCAAAGAGUCUUCUGAGAAGAUGCACACAGUUGAACCCAUCGGAUGAAGGAUCUGAAUCCGCGAUAGAAAAACUCAAGUGAAGAUCAAACAACUUUUCCCACAACAACAUCAACAAUGGUAAGAAUUAUGACUCCUCGUCAGCAUAAUCAGUACCAGUAUUGUUCAUCACUGCAGUCUGCUUGGUCAGCGGAGGUUUAUUUUUGUACGCUAAUCACCUAAGAGUUUGUUACCAAGCAGAAGAAUGAAGUGGAAAAAUGUCCCACUGGCUUGUAUUAAUGAAGGAGAAUAAAGUACAAGUCUUUCUACUGUU